rnacentral:rRNA from 1 species
GAGUUUGAUCCUGGCUCAGGACGAACGCUGGCGGUGCGCCUAAUGCAUGCAAGUCGAACGGGCGGAGGGGCUUCGGCCCCCGAGCUAGUGGCAGACGGCUGAGUAACACGUAAGUGAUCUGCCCCGGAGAGGGGGAUAACCCGGAGAAGUCCGGCCUAAUACCCCGUACGCUCCCUUUACUGCGGUAGAGAGAGGAAAGUUCCGGCGCUCUGGGAGGAGCUUGCGGCCUAUCAUGGUAGUUGGUGGGGUAAAAGCCUACCAAGCCGAAGACGGGUAACCGGUGUGAGAGCACGAUCGGUCAGAGGGGGACUGAGACACGGCCCCCACUCCUACGGGAGGCAGCAGCAGGGAAUCUUGCGCAAUGGGCGAAAGCCUGACGCAGCGACACCGCGUGGGGGAUGAAGGCUUUCGAGUUGUAAACCCCUUUUCCCGGGGAUGAGAAAGGACAGUACCCGGGGAAUAAGGUUCGGCUAACUACGUGCCAGCAGCCGCGGUAAUACGUAGGAACCGAGCGGUGUCCGGAUUUACUGGGCGUAAAGUGCGCGUAGGCCGGUCUGUUAAGUCUCAUGUGAAAUCUCCCGGCUCAACUGGGGAGGGGUCAUGGGAUACUGGCAGACUUGAGUGCAGCAAAAGGGAGUGGAAUUCCCGGAGUAGUGGUGGAAUGCGUAGAUACCGGGAGGAACACCAGAGGC